rnacentral:rRNA from 1 species
UACGGAGGGGGCUAGCGUUGUUCGGAAUUACUGGGCGUAAAGCGCACGUAGGCGGCUUUGUAAGUUAGAGGUGAAAGCCCGGGGCUCAACCCCGGAAUUGCCUUUAAGACUGCAUCGCUUGAAUCCGGGAGAGGUGAGUGGAAUUCCGAGUGUAGAGGUGAAAUUCGUAGAUAUUCGGAAGAACACCAGUGGCGAAGGCGGCUCACUGGACCGGUAUUGACGCUGAGGUGCGAAAGCGUGGGGAGAAACAGG